rnacentral:rRNA from 1 species
UACGGAGGGUGCGAGCGUUGUCCGGAAUCACUGGGCGUAAAGGGCGCGUAGGCGGCCUGAUAAGUAGGGGGUGAAAUCCUGCGGCUUAACCGCAGGGCUGCCUUCUAAACUGUCAGGCUAGAGCACAGUAGAGGCAGGUGGAAUUCCCGGUGUAGCGGUGGAAUGCGUAGAGAUCGGGAAGAACAUCGGUGGCGAAAGCGCUCUACUGGACCGUAACUGACACUCAGGGACGAAAGCUAGGGGAGCGAAUGGG